rnacentral:misc_RNA from 1 species
GAUGAAGAACGCAGCGAAAUGCGAUACUUGGUGUGAAUUGCAGAAUCCCGUGAACCAUCGAGUCUUUGAACGCAAGUUGCGCCCGAAGCCACUAGGCCGAGGGCACGCCUGCCUGGGCGUCACACGCCGUUGCCCCCCCAUCUACUCCUUCGGGAUUGCGGGGGGGCGGAUGAUGGCCUCCUGUGCGCCUAGCCGCGCGGUUGGCAUAAAUACCAAGUCCUCGGCGACGCACGCCACGACAAUCGGUGGUUGCGAAACCUCGGUUGCCCGUCGUGUGCGUUCGUCGCGAAUCGAGGGCUCGAAAAAAUGCUCGGCUCCGGCUGGGCUUUCAACGCGACCCCAGGUCAGGCGGGGUUACCCGCUGAAUUUAAGCAUAUCAAUAAGCGGAGGA